rnacentral:rRNA from 1 species
CCCUUAGAUGUUCUGGGCUGCACGCGCGCUACACUGAUACUUUCAGCGAGUCCACCACCUUGCCUGGGAAGGUGGGGUAACCUCUGGAAAGUGCAUCGUGAUGGGGAUCGAUUAUUGUAAUUAUUAAUCUUCAACGAGGAAUUCCUAGUAAGCAUGUGUCAUCAGCCCGUGCUGAUUACGUCCCUGCCCUUUGUACACACCGCCCGUCGCUCCUACCGAUUGAAUGCUCAGGUGAGCCAUUCGGACUUUCAUCAUGCUGGUUUCCAGUUUUGAUGAAGGAAAGUCUUGCGAACCUUAUCAUUUAGAGGAAGGAGAAGUCGUAACA